UUUACGGAGAGUUUGAUCCUGGCUCAGGACGAACGCUGGCGGCGUGCUUAACACAUGCAAGUGGUGCGACGAACCGGAGCUUGCUCCGGGGCCAAGCCGCGAACGGGUGAGUAACACGUGAGUAAUCUGCCCCGAUGACCGGGACAACCCGAGGAAACUCGGGCUAAUACCGGAUGUGGUGCACAGAUCCAAGUUUGUGUACUAAAGGAAGCUUCGGCCUCCGCAUUGGGAGGAGCUCGCGGCCCAUUAGCUUGUUGGUGGGGUAACGGCCUACCAAGGCAACGAUGGGUAGCUGGUCUGAGAGGACGAUCAGCCACACUGGGACUGAGACACGGCCCAGACUCCUACGGGAGGCAGCAGUGGGGAAUCUUGCGCAAUGCGCGAAAGCGUGACGCAGC
rnacentral:rRNA from 1 species